rnacentral:tRNA from 1 species
GUGGAGAAAGUUCAAUUGGAUUGAGCAAUAGAUUGUGAAUCUAAAGGUUAAGGGUUCGAAUCCCUUUCUCCACC